ACCACAAAUGUCCUUAGGAUGUGAACAGUCACUGGAGAGCUGAAAAGGAUGGAGAGGUGACAAAAUAAGGGAACUGAAGUCCAGGGUGACUCUAUGAUUCGCCCAAGGUUACACAGAAGAAAAAGGUUAGACCUUAGAGAGAAUUCUGGACACCAGAAGACACUUCUUUCUUUCUCAAGCUGGAUCUGCAAGGAAAUGUAAAUGAAC